rnacentral:rRNA from 1 species
GACGAACGCUGGCGGCGUGCUUAACACAUGCAAGUCGAACGGAAAGGCCCCAGCUUGCUGGGGUACUCGAGUGGCGAACGGGUGAGUAACACGUGGGUGAUCUGCCCUGCACUCUGGGAUAAGCCUGGGAAACUGGGUCUAAUACCGGAUAGGACCGUGCUCUAGUGUGUGCGGUGGAAAGUUUUUCGGUGCAGGAUGAGCCCGCGGCCUAUCAGCUUGUUGGUGGGGUAAUGGCCUACCAAGGCGGCGACGGGUAGCCGGCCUGAGAGGGUGUACGGCCACAUUGGGACUGAGACACGGCCCAGACUCCUACGGGAGGCAGCAGUGGGGAAUAUUGCACAAUGGGCGGAAGCCUGAUGCAGCGACGCCGCGUGGGGGAUGACGGCCUUCGGGUUGUAAACCCCUUUCGGCAGGGACGAAGCUUUUGUGACGGUACCUGCAUAAGAAGCACCGGCUAACUACGUG